GGGUUGUGAGGUUAAGCGACUAAGCGUACACGGUGGAUGCCCUGGCAGUCAGAGGCGAUGAAGGACGUGCUAAUCUGCGAUAAGCGUCGGUAAGGUGAUAUGAACCGUUAUAACCGGCGAUUUCCGAAUGGGGAAACCCAGUGUGAUUCGUCACACUAUCAUUACGUGAAUACAUAGCGUAAUGAAGCGAACCGGGGGAACUGAAACAUCUAAGUACCCCGAGGAAAAGAAAUCAACCGAGAUUCCCCCAGUAGCGGCGAGCGAACGGGGAGCAGCCCAGAGUCUGAAUCAGCUUGUGUGUUAGUGGAACGGUCUGGAAAGUCCGACGGUACAGGGUGAUAGUCCCGUACACCAAAAUGCACAGGUUGUGAACUCGAAGAGUAGGGCGGGACACGUGGUAUCCUGUCUGAAUAUGGGGGGACCAUCCUCCAAGGCUAAAUACUCCUGACUGACCGAUAGUGAACCAGUACCGUGAGGGAAAGGCGAAAAGAACCCCGGCGAGGGGAGUGAAAAAGAACCUGAAACCGUGUACGUACAAGCAGUGGGAGCCUCUUUAUGGGGUGACUGCGUACCUUUUGUAUAAUGGGUCAGCGACUUAUAUUCUGUAGCAAGGUUAACCGUAUAGGGGAGCCGAAGGGAAACCGAGUCUUAACUGGGCGUUAAGUUGCAGGGUAUAGACCCGAAACCCGGUGAUCUAGCCAUGGGCAGGUUGAAGGUUGGGUAACACUAACUGGAGGACCGAACCGACUAAUGUUGAAAAAUUAGCGGAUGACUUGUGGCUGGGGGUGAAAGGCCAAUCAAACCGGGAGAUAGCUGGUUCUCCCCGAAAGCUAUUUAGGUAGCGCCUCGUGAAUUCAUCUUCGGGGGUAGAGCACUGUUUCGGCUAGGGGGUCAUCCCGACUUACCAACCCGAUGCAAACUGCGAAUACCGAAGAAUGUUAUCACGGGAGACACACGGCGGGUGCUAACGUCCGUCGUGAAGAGGGAAACAACCCAGACCGCCAGCUAAGGUCCCAAAGUCAUGGUUAAGUGGGAAACGAUGUGGGAAGGCACAGACAGCCAGGAUGUUGGCUUAGAAGCAGCCAUCAUUUAAAGAAAGCGUAAUAGCUCACUGGUCGAGUCGGCCUGCGCGGAAGAUGUAACGGGGCUAAACCAUGCACCGAAGCUGCGGCAGCGACACUAUGUGUUGUUGGGUAGGGGAGCGUUCUGUAAGCCGUUGAAGGUGUACUGUGAGGUAUGCUGGAGGUAUCAGAAGUGCGAAUGCUGACAUAAGUAACGAUAAUGCGGGUGAAAAACCCGCACGCCGGAAGACCAAGGGUUCCUGUCCAACGUUAAUCGGGGCAGGGUGAGUCGACCCCUAAGGCGAGGCCGAAAGGCGUAGUCGAUGGGAAACAGGUUAAUAUUCCUGUACUUGGUGUUACUGCGAAGGGGGGACGGAGAAGGCUAUGUUAGCCGGGCGACGGUUGUCCCGGUUUAAGCAUGUAGGCGGAGGUUCCAGGUAAAUCCGGUACCUUUUAACGCUGAGGUGUGAUGACGAGGCACUACGGUGCUGAAGUAACAAAUGCCCUGCUUCCAGGAAAAGCCUCUAAGCAUCAGGUAACACGAAAUCGUACCCCAAACCGACACAGGUGGUCAGGUAGAGAAUACCAAGGCGCUUGAGAGAACUCGGGUGAAGGAACUAGGCAAAAUGGUGCCGUAACUUCGGGAGAAGGCACGCUGAUAUGUAGGUGAAGUGAUUUACUCAUGGAGCUGAAAUCAGUCGAAGAUACCAGCUGGCUGCAACUGUUUAUUAAAAACACAGCACUGUGCAAACACGAAAGUGGACGUAUACGGUGUGACGCCUGCCCGGUGCCGGAAGGUUAAUUGAUGGGGUUAUCCGUAAGGAGAAGCUCUUGAUCGAAGCCCCGGUAAACGGCGGCCGUAACUAUAACGGUCCUAAGGUAGCGAAAUUCCUUGUCGGGUAAGUUCCGACCUGCACGAAUGGCGUAAUGAUGGCCAGGCUGUCUCCACCCGAGACUCAGUGAAAUUGAACUCGCUGUGAAGAUGCAGUGUACCCGCGGCAAGACGGAAAGACCCCGUGAACCUUUACUAUAGCUUGACACUGAACACUGGUCCUUGAUGUGUAGGAUAGGUGGGAGGCUUUGAAGUGUGGACGCCAGUCUGCAUGGAGCCAUCCUUGAAAUACCACCCUUUAAUGGCUGGUGUUCUAACGUGGACCCGUAAUCCGGGUUGCGGACAGUGUCUGGUGGGUAGUUUGACUGGGGCGGUCUCCUCCUAAAGAGUAACGGAGGAGCACGAAGGUUAGCUAAUCCUGGUCGGACAUCAGGAGGUUAGUGCAAAGGCAUAAGCUAGCUUGACUGCGAGAGUGACGGCUCGAGCAGGUGCGAAAGCAGGUCUUAGUGAUCCGGUGGUUCUGAAUGGAAGGGCCAUCGCUCAACGGAUAAAAGGUACUCCGGGGAUAACAGGCUGAUACCGCCCAAGAGUUCAUAUCGACGGCGGUGUUUGGCACCUCGAUGUCGGCUCAUCACAUCCUGGGGCUGAAGUAGGUCCCAAGGGUAUGGCUGUUCGCCAUUUAAAGUGGUACGCGAGCUGGGUUUAGAACGUCGUGAGACAGUUCGGUCCCUAUCUGCCGUGGGCGCUGGAGAAUUGAGGGGGGCUGCUCCUAGUACGAGAGGACCGGAGUGGACGCAUCACUGGUGUUCGGGUUGUCAUGCCAAUGGCAUUGCCCGGUAGCUAAAUGCGGAAGAGAUAAGUGCUGAAAGCAUCUAAGCACGAAACUUGCCCCGAGAUGAGUUCUCCCUGAGACUAUAAGUCUCCUGAAGGAACGUUGAAGACGACGACGUUGAUAGGUCGGGUGUGUAAGUGUAGCGAUACAUUGAGCUAACCGAUACUAAUGAACCGUGAGGCUUAACCUUACAACGCCGAAG
rnacentral:rRNA from 2 species